CGGACCGUCCCGGAGGAGGUGGCGGGCGCAGCUGCCAGGACCGGCCGCCCCGCGAGUGGCGUUCGCUUUCGCUUUUGCUUUAGCCCCCGGAGGGCCGGGGAGAGCCUGACGUUAUUAGAGACCUGUCUGUGAUGAGAGAGCUCUGGGCGCCCAGUCAGAAAUUCCCGGUUACAGGAGGAAAUUAGGCAAAACGAGCCAUCUCUGGGCUGCAGUCUCUUUCCCCAGUGGUGACACCCAGAAUCACUACAAUAUAGUGUCACAACCAGGAAAUUGACCUUCAUGAAGAUCCUCAGGCCUUCAGCAAAUUUUGUGGGCUUUCCACGCACUCACGCACUUCCAUAUUUAGCUCUGCAGAGGUUUGUCACACACGGAUCCGUCGGUGACCACACUGUCAAGACUGGGCAUAGGACCUUCUCGAGGAUCCCUUCUUCUCCUCUGUUACAGCCACAGUGGCCUUCCUCUCUCAGCCUCGCUCUACACCCUGACAACCGUGGACCUAUGCUCCAUCUCUAGAUUUGGUCCCUUGAAGAAUGCUUAAAUGCAGACAUAAUGACUGGAGCUCCAGCAGUCCUAUUGGACCACGAGGAUUCCUGAUAAUCCAAGCACAAACCACCUAUAUAGUAGAAAGAAGAUAGAAAAGUCUGGGUCCCUGACACCAGGGACAUCAGCCUGGACUAUCUUCCUUUGGCCUCUUGAAUUUGAGAGAUAAUAAAUACCUAUCUAAUUUGUCAUGAUUAUUUUUGGUUUCUCUCUUACUAACAACUAAAUGUUAUUGUAACAACACACUUAAAAAGAGAAAUUAUAUUUCAGAUAGACUUGUGUUUUUUCCCCUUAUAGAUUUUCCUUUUAUUAGCCAUGUUAUUUUCAUUUCUGCAAUGGAAAAAUAUAUAAUAUACUCAUUAUUUUCAUCAAUUUUGAGGUACUAUUAAGCCUGUUCUCACAUC